CCUACGGGAGGCUGCAGUGAGGAAUAUUGGUCAAUGGGCGCGAGCCUGAACCAGCCAAGUAGCGUGAAGGAUGACUGCCCUACGGGUUGUAAACUUCUUUUAUAAAGGAAUAAAACGAGGCACGUGUGCCUUUUUGCAUGUACUUUAUGAAUAAGGAUCGGCUAACUCCGUGCCAGCAGCCGCGGUAAUACGGAGGAUCCGAGCGUUAUCCGGAUUUAUUGGGUUUAAAGGGAGCGUAGAUGGGUUGUUAAGUCAGUUGUGAAAGUUUGCGGCUCAACCGUAAAAUUGCAAGUGAUACUGGCAGUCUGGAGUACAGUUGAGGUAGGCGGAAUUCGUGGUGUAGCGGUGAAAUGCUUAGAUAUCACGAAGAACCCCGAUUGCGAAGGCAGCUUACUAAACUGUGACUGACAUUGAUGCUCGAAAGCGUGGGUAGCAAACAGGAUUAGAUACCCGAGUAGUC
rnacentral:rRNA from 1 species